ACCCUCCAGUUCCCCUUCCCAUUGGAUUGGAACACUGGUCUUGGUGGUUGUACAAGGAGGAAAAGUGAUACUGAAGCUGGCUUCAUGGUGUUGUAGUCUGAUAUACAGCAUUGGGUCAAUUUCCAACAAGG
ensembl:snoRNA